AAAAGGAUUACAAAUCUAAUAAUAACAGAGAAGAUUCUAAGAAUCUGCACACAUUUGCAUAAAGGGAUUACUAGAUCAGAAAAUCUAGAUGUCUCCCUGCAUAUUUUAAGCAAAAAUGGUACAGCCCUGUUCUUUCCUCCUUGUACUGAUUCCUGGACUAACAGUCUCACAAACUGAGCUGGAAGUGUGAAAGUGUGCUACAGAUUAUCUUGAUAUCGGACUACAAUCAGUGAUGACAGACAGCAAGAGUAUCCAUUCCAGUAAUAUCUCCACUGUCCAUAACAUUCCAAUGCGUGUGCUUAUCAGACCUAUCCCAUCAAUCCUAGAAGAGGGCAAGGUGGAAAGCCUAAUGGAGACGAUACAGAAUGAUGCAGACUCUGUGCCUCCAAUCGACGUUCUCUGGAUCAAGGGUCAGAAAGGAGGAGACUACUUUUAUUCUUUUGGUGGGUGCCAUCGUUACGCAGCGCAUCAGCGGUUAAACAAAGAAACCAUCCCUGCCAAAAUCAUUCAGUCCUCUAUCAGAGAUUUACGCACGUACUUGGGAUCCAGUACACCAGAUCUACAAUAAUAUUAAUAGGCCCAAGAGAUGGAUCGGAAGCUGAAAAAAAAAAGCAUUAAAAGUGGAGGUCUGGAUUUACUUAUUCUCGCAAACUUGGAAGCUGCAACAAAACUGUAUCUGUACCAAAUCUGCACAGAGAACUAAAAUAUAAUUGAUCCCAAAAAACAUAUCCAGCGAUAUUGUAAACAGUCCAAAAACAUUCAGUAGAGUUUGGGGCCUCUAUUGUAUGCCAAAGAUUUACUUACUUUAAGGUCUAAAAAUAAAGUUUGCUCUUGAAUUCCUUCCAUCUUUUUCACUCUACCUACCUACCUCAACUUUUACACUUUUUUGUAUUGAUAUGUUUCUACAUUUAGCAAUUGUAUACAUUUAAAUAUUGUCUUUCUCAGAUGCCUUUACAAAGCAAUGAUUGUUCAUUUAUUUGCACUGGAACACAUUCCUGAAAUAGUAUAUUCUGCAUUAAGUAACAGAUCUUAAAAUGAGCCUCUUCGUGAAGAGGGAAUACACAUUUUAUUGUAAAAUAAAUGU